UCCCAUGGGUGAAUUGUGUGUUCCCAGCACAAAUCCAAACCGUAGCCCCAUGCUAGAUACAGAGGAAGGUUAGCUCUACCCCAGACAGAGCAGCACAGAAUGUUAUAUCCACAGUGGUUCUUGAGGGUGCCUUGAGUUGAUAGUUCCUAAAAGAGAAGUAGCGAACUCUGCUUUAUACGGAGUUCUGGAAGAAGAGGGAAGAGAAUGUGGGACCUAUAAAAUAAUUUUUAUAGCGCUUGCUCAUGUUAAAAUGUGGUGGCUUGAAACCCUAGUGAGUAAAGGGCUGAGUUGUACAGGCACAUGGGAAAUCUGAAGAGAACAUGUGAGGAAUGCCUGGGAAGUUGAUGUUUAUGGACUAAUGAUCUGGAGUCACAAAGAACCAGCUGCUGUGCAGGGAGAGGAGCUCAUUCCAGUGACAAACGCAUGUAAGUGGCAGUAGAGGAGGGUGAGUAGCCUUCCUCUGCUAAAGGAAGACGUAAGUGAUCUUAAUUUUUUAGGUUUUCUCUAUUCAGAGAAGGAUUUUUUUUGGUAGUCCAUUCCUAGAUCAGAUGAAGUUUUCUAGACACUGAAAGAAAGACUGAUGCUAAAAUGUAAUUUUCUCUUCCCUUGCAGAAGUCUGCUUGGUUUUUUGUCCAAGCUCAGUAAUCAUUACAGUGGUGUUUAGGUUAUUUGGGAGGACACAGGACGUCCUGCAGCAGCGCUGCUUAUCAGCAUCACUGUGUUCCUACCAGCUUUGUCCUACAAGUUGUUCUUCCGGACAACAUUGAUGGGUCACAAGGAAAGAGUUCAGAAGUAGCUGUGAGUACUUUCUGGCAAGAAAUUACUUUACAGUUCUUGGGUUGUUGUUUUCUUCAGAGUCUUGUUUUAGGCUGGUAUGAAUAAGUCUAUUUUGAGCUGCCCUUAAAUGGAUGUCACGUAGAGGACAGUCUUGUUAAAACUUGGGAGUUGCCUGCUCAGCAGUUGGGUUCUGCGCUCUUGGCUGUGGUUGGAGGAUACAGUAAAUCCAGCUUCAGGGCUCUGAGAACCAAAUGAAGAACCUGACCCUCCCAUGGAGCAAAAUGGCAGUCCAGAAGCAAACACAUUUUGCUGGCACUGUCAAAUGUAUGGCUGUGUGGAUGAGCUCUCUGUGGGCCAGUGGCCGUGGCAGUGAGGUUCCCCCAGACAGUCUGACAUAUCCCGGUGGCUGUCGGUGCUCUGGAGCAGCUCUUUCCUACCAACCUGCCCCUCUGACACCACUGACAUUUCGAGGAGAGGAAGUUUUCCUGCCUGUGGCUAUGAGUCUGGUUCGUGGUAGCCAGGGACCACGCAUAUGGUUGUCCCAACAGCCUGAUCACAGCCCCCAGAAGGCACAGCAGAUGCUCUCCCAGAGCAGCAUCUGUGGCCUUGCGGAAGGGAAUUGUCACUUGCAGUUGUGUUUCUGCUUUGUGAUCCUUGUGGGUAUCGCUUGUGAGGGACCUGUGUCCUUCUGGCUCUGUGGCUUGUUCUGGCGUAAUCGGUGUUUUGUUGAGCACUUGGCACUCUGGGGAGACAGAAUGGCAGCCCAGGUCUGUGCUGCUCUGGGCUCUGACUGACUCUCCUCUGACUGGAGCUUAAAUUGGUGGAAGUGAUGAAAUGAUUUUUUUCGCUUUAGUCUCAAGUAAUAAAAUAACUUGGUUUUGCAUUUCA